AGAGUUUGAUCCUGGCUCAGGACGAACGCUGGCGGCGUGCUUAACACAUGCAAGUCGAACGGUAAGGCCCUUCGGGGUACACGAGUGGCGAACGGGUGAGUAACACGUGGGUAAUCUGCCCUGCACAUCGGGAUAAGCCUGGGAAACUGGGUCUAAUACCGAAUAGGACCACAGGACACAUGUCCUGUGGUGGAAAGCUUUUGCGGUGUGGGAUGGGCCCGCGGCCUAUCAGCUUGUUGGUGGGGUGAUGGCCUACCAAGGCGACGACGGGUAGCCGGCCUGAGAGGGUGUCCGGCCACACUGGGACUGAGAUACGGCCCAGACUCCUACGGGAGGCAGCAGUGGGGAAUAUUGCACAAUGGGCGAAAGCCUGAUGCAGCGACGCCGCGUGGGGGAUGACGGCCUUCGGGUUGUAAACCUCUUUCACCAUCGACGAAGGUCCGGGUUUUCUCGGGCUGACGGUAGGUGGAGAAGAAGCACCGGCCAACUACGUGCCAGCAGUCGCGGUAAUACGUAGGGUGCGAGCGUUGUCCGGAAUUACUGGGCGUAAAGAGCUCGUAGGUGGUUUGUCGCGUUGUUCGUGAAAUCUCACGGCUUAACUGUGAGCGUGCGGGCGAUACGGGCAGACUUGAGUACUGCAGGGGAGACUGGAAUUCCUGGUGUAGCGGUGGAAUGCGCAGAUAUCAGGAGGAACACCGGUGGCGAAGGCGGGUCUCUGGGCAGUAACUGACGCUGAGGAGCGAAAGCGUGGGGAGCGAACAGGAUUAGAUACCCUGGUAGUCC
rnacentral:rRNA from 1 species